rnacentral:misc_RNA from 1 species
AAAGGCAUGCCUUUCACCUGAG